rnacentral:rRNA from 1 species
CCUACGGGAGGCAGCAGUGGGGAAUAUUGCGCAAUGGGCGAAAGCCUGACGCAGCGACGCCGCGUGAGGGAUGAAGGUCUUCGGAUCGUAAACCUCUGUCAGUAGGGAAGCACGGUCACUGUGCUAAUCAGCGGUGAAUUGACGGUACCUGCAAAGGAAGCACCGGCUAACUCCGUGCCAGCAGCCUCGGUAAUACGGAGGGUGCGCGCGUUAAUCGGUAUUACUGGGCGUAAAGGGCUCGUAGGCGGUACGGCAAGUCAAGGGUGAAAUCCCCGCGCUCAACGUGGGAACUGCCUUUGAAACUGGCAAACUGGAGUGUGUGAGAGGAUAGUGGAAUUCCAGGUGUAGGAGUGAAAUCCGUAGAUAUCUGGAGGAACAUCAGUGGCGAAGGCGACUAUCUGGCACAUAACUGACGCUGAGGAGCGAAAGCGUGGGUAGCAAACAGGAGUAGAUACCCUAGUAGUC